GGGUUGUGAGGUUAAGCGACUAAGCGUACACGGUGGAUGCCCUGGCAGUCAGAGGCGAUGAAGGACGUGCUAAUCUGCGAUAAGCGUCGGUAAGGUGAUAUGAACCGUUAUAACCGGCGAUUUCCGAAUGGGGAAACCCAGUGUGAUUCGUCACACUAUCAUUAACUGAAUCCAUAGGUUAAUGAGGCGAACCGGGGGAACUGAAACAUCUAAGUACCCCGAGGAAAAGAAAUCAACCGAGAUUCCCCCAGUAGCGGCGAGCGAACGGGGAGCAGCCCAGAGCCUGAAUCAGUGUGUGUGUUAGUGGAAGCGUCUGGAAAGGCGCGCGAUACAGGGUGACAGCCCCGUACACAAAAAUGCACAUGCUGUGAGCUCGAUGAGUAGGGCGGGACACGUGGUAUCCUGUCUGAAUAUGGGGGGACCAUCCUCCAAGGCUAAAUACUCCUGACUGACCGAUAGUGAACCAGUACCGUGAGGGAAAGGCGAAAAGAACCCCGGCGAGGGGAGUGAAAAAGAACCUGAAACCGUGUACGUACAAGCAGUGGGAGCACGCUUCGGCGUGUGACUGCGUACCUUUUGUAUAAUGGGUCAGCGACUUAUAUUCUGUAGCAAGGUUAACCGAAUAGGGGAGCCGAAGGGAAACCGAGUCUUAACUGGGCGUUAAGUUGCAGGGUAUAGACCCGAAACCCGGUGAUCUAGCCAUGGGCAGGUUGAAGGUUGGGUAACACUAACUGGAGGACCGAACCGACUAAUGUUGAAAAAUUAGCGGAUGACUUGUGGCUGGGGGUGA
rnacentral:rRNA from 1 species